rnacentral:tmRNA from 1 species
GGGGGCGUCACGGCUUCGACGGAGAUGCUUGCGGCCAAGAGGCAUGCCGGGGUGCACACACCCGUAAUCGCGUGCAAAACAACAAUUGCCAACCAAACACUGGCAUACGCAGCUUAAUUAAUUAAGUUGCCGUUCUCCGCAGCUUCGCCCGUGGGCUGCGAGCGAACGUCGAACUGCGGGCUGGUCUUCCCGGCUACGUCUGGGCUGGGAGGAUGAGACUUUCAGGCUAGCGACUUGCGUUUCUUGUCCGUUCUGAGCGCCGGUCGCGAACGUCCCAGGGUAAUGCCUGGGGCAUGAACUGGACUACGCAUGUAGGCUCUUGACCAGUAACAUUUUCGGACGCGGGUUCGACUCCCGCCGCCUCCACCA